rnacentral:lncRNA from 1 species
GGGCUAGGAAGCUCUGACUACGGUCCUACAAACACCGAUUCGAACGAGGUGGAAUACGUCGACCGUUAGGGCUGUCACUACCCUAGGGCUACCACAACAAUCCGCAGGAUUGGGUGCAAUUCCAGGUAAUAGCAAGACUAAACACCACAUCUAAUCUAUUAAUUACUACUCUAGCGUUAUAAAGACUAGAGCACUUGAUGCA